GUCUUGGUGGUAUAGGGGUUAUUAUUGCCGCCUUCCAAGCGGUAGACCCGGGUUCGAGUCCCGGCUAAGACA